rnacentral:rRNA from 1 species
CAUCAGAAGGGGAUAACACUUGGAAACAGGUGCUAAUACCGUAUAACAAUCGAAACCGCAUGGUUUUGAUUUGAAAGGCGCUUUCGGGUGUCGCUGAUGGAUGGACCCGCGGUGCAUUAGCUAGUUGGUGAGGUAACGGCUCACCAAGGCGACGGAUGCAUAGCCGGACCUGAGAGGGUGGAUCGGCCCACAUUGGGACUGAGACACGGGCCCAAACUCCUACGGGAGGCAGCAGUAGGGAAUCUUCGGCCAAUGGACGAAAGUCUGACCGAGCAACGCCGCGUGAGUGAAGAAGGUUUUCGGAUCGUAAAACUCUGUUGUUAGAGAAAGAACAAGGAUGAGAGUAACUGUUCAUCCCUUGACGGUAUCUAACCAGAAAGCCACGGCUAACUACGUGCCAGCAGCCGCGGUAAUACGUAGGUGGCAAGCGUUGUCCGGAUUUAUUGGGCGUAAAGCGAGCGCAGGCGGUUUCUUAAGUCUGAUGUGAAAGCCCCCGGCUCAACCGGGGAGGGUCAUUGGAAACUGGGAGACUUGAGUGCAGAAGAGGAGAGUGGAAUUCCAUG